rnacentral:RNase_P_RNA from 1 species
UUAAAAAGCGGGUCGAGGAAAGUCCGGACUUCACAGAGCAGGGUGGUGGGUAACGCCCACCCGGAGUGAUCCGCGGGACAGUGCCACAGAAAACAAACCGCCAAGGGAAACCUUGGUAAGGGUGAAACGGUGGUGUAAGAGACCACCAGUGGUGCAGGCGACUGCAUCAGCUCGGUAAACCCCACCCGAAGCAAGGUCAAGAGGGUCAGCUUGCUGGCCCAAGCAGACGGGUUGCUCGCCCAUUGUCUGCUGGUAGACCGCACGAGGCUGCUGGCAACAGCAGUCCAAGAUGGAUGGUCACCAUCUGCUUCGGCAGAUACAGGAUCCGGCUUAUAGACCGACUCGUUCC